rnacentral:rRNA from 1 species
AGACGGGGGGGGCGAGCGUUGUUCGGAAUUACUGGGCGUAAAGGGCGCGCAGGCGGCUUGGGAAGUCUUGGGUGAAAGCCCCCAGCUCAACUGGGGAAUGGCCUGAGAAACCACUAGGCUGGAGUGCUGGAGAGGGAAGCGGAAUUCCCGGUGGAGCGGUGAAAUGCGUAGAUAUCGGGAGGAACACCAGAGGCGAAGGCGGCUUCCUGGACAGACACUGACGCUGAGGCGCGAAAGCUAGGGGAGCAAACGGGAUUAGAAACCCGGGUAGUCC